rnacentral:snRNA from 2 species
GCUGCUUCUCAGCCUUUUGGCUAAGAUCAAGUGUAGUAUCUGUUCUUAUCAGUUUAAUAUCUGAUAUGUCUUCCCUGGUGGCUCGGACUGUAAAGCAUCUGUC